UGGCUCAGAGGUUAAAGUGUCUGCCUGCAAUGCAGGAGACCUGGGUUCAAUCCCCUG
rnacentral:tRNA from 1 species